UACGAAGGGUGCAAGCGUUAAUCGGAAUUACUGGGCGUAAAGGGUGCGUAGGCGGUUCGUUAAGUCUGUCGUGAAAUCCCCGGGCUCAACCUGGGAAUGGCGAUGGAUACUGGCGAGCUAGAGUGUGUCAGAGGAUGGUGGAAUUCCCGGUGUAGCGGUGAAAUGCGUAGAGAUCGGGAGGAACAUCAGUGGCGAAGGCGGCCAUCUGGGACAACACUGACACUGAGGCACGAAAGCGUGGGGAGCAAACAGG
rnacentral:rRNA from 1 species